GGAGAGGUGGCCGAGCGGUCGAAGGCGCUCGCCUGCUAAGCGAGUAGGGGACGUUGAGUCUCCUCGAGGGUUCAAAUCCCUCCCUCUCCG
rnacentral:tRNA from 1 species